GUUUCCAGCACUAUCCCAGCAGACCUUGCUCUCUAAAAGAAGUUUAACCAUGUGCAAGCUGACUAUCUCCGGUCACAGGUUACAGCCACACAUCAGGCUCCCUUACUCAUCUACAGUAAAUGUCCUUAUUGAGAAACAAGAGAAAUGUCAAUCUUGGACUGGAGGAGGUAACUUUCUUCUCUCAAUAAGAAGGAAAAGAAGUAGAGGUUGAUGGGGGAGCUGAAUAAAUGUGUGGACUAAACAGAA